UGGUUUUGAUGCAAUUUCCUCUUCCACCACCCUCUACCCUAAACCUUCACUGGAGCGGAGACGAGGGGACCUUUAAUAAGGUUUCCGCUCUCCAUAAUCAUGGCCGACUUUGCCACCAUCCCUGGUGGGGCCCCCACCGCCGCGGAGCCGCCGCUGUUUCCACAGCCCUGCAGCCAGUGUCUCAUCAUCAUGUUCUUCCUGGCAUUGGUCACUGCCAUAUUCAUGGUGACCUGCGUUGUACUGUCCUUCAAAGUCUCCCACAUGUCCCAGCAGAGGUCGCGGCGGAGCAGGAUCACGCCGUCGGCACCCGCGGACCUGGAUUUAUGGGCCUCGCCUCCAAUCUCUCACAGCCAAUCCACUCUGCUAAUGGAGGAGGGACCAGCGGCGAAUCCACUCCGGCUUCCUGCAUUCUCCCCAGAAUGGGAUGAAGUCGUCGCCCGUCAGCCGCGGGUGACCCUACGGGACCUGGACGAGUUCUGGUGGCGCAGUAACGCCACGGCUGUGUAAGACCAAGAAGGCUUUGAACCUUCGGUGGACUAUGAUGCUAUAGCUGAUGGAGGAGCGCUGGCAUCCAAAACCCUCUGGAGGGCGCCACUCAGGAGGCUAUCCAGACUACCUCUGACAUUCUAGAACAAAUACGAAUUACAUGGAAAUGACGCGUCUGAUAAAUUAUUAUUGACUCUCCUUUAUGUAAUUGACCACAACGGCCUCGUUUCCUUAGAAUGAUCUACUGUAUAUGUUAUGUGUUAUCUUUCUUGCUUAGGGUUUGCCACUUCCCGUUACAGCAGAUAAAUCAUAAUUCUUAAUAAAUUCUCGACGACCAAAAAAA